rnacentral:rRNA from 1 species
AAUGAACGCUGGCGGCGCGCCUAAUACAUGCAAGUCGAGCGAGAAGACGUAGCAAUACGUUUGUAAAGCGGCGAACGGGUGAGGAAUACAUGGGUAACCUACCCUCGAGUGGGGAAUAACUAGCCGAAAGGUUAGCUAAUACCGCGUACGCUUCUUGGACUUCGGUUCAGGGAGGAAAGCGAUGCCGAGGGUAUCGCGCUCUUGGAUGGGCUCAUGUCCUAUCAGCUUGUUGGNGAGGU